AGGCUCAUCGAAGCGGACGAAGCCCCUGACUCGAGGAUUGCAGGGGAGUACAAGCCUACAAGGUGGAAGACACGGAGGCGGUGCUUAAGAUUGGGUUGGCUUGCUGCCAUCCUGACCCUGACGGUAAAUCGAUGGAGUGUUAUGCUUAUGUUUUACUUUUUAUUCUUUGUCAAAUGUGUGCCUAAUUACAUAGCUCGAUUUUUGCAGAAAACGCAUUUGUCUAGUUUCCGCAAAUCUUAUUUGAAGACAUCCUUUGUUACAGUCCAAAAACUGAUGCAUGUGAAGAAUGAUGCUAGAUGAUGUUGAAAGAAACCAGGCAAAGAUUGAUGCUAUAGAGUAUAGAGGCAUAUGAAUCUAUAUUAAGCUGCAAAAGCCUUGUACCAUGGCUUCAGCAAGCAAUGACCUCGGGACUUCAUAGACUUGCAUCGUUGAUCUCCCCGAUUUGAGACCCCUGCAACCUUCAAGUUCUCUCUCUACAAAUUUCAGCUCUUUCUCUGGUACUCCAGCCUCCAGGACCCAGGUAUAUCCUUUCAGUCAAUUUUAUCCUUCCAUAUUUUAUUUUUGAAUCUUAUUUAUGUUUUUUCAACUUCUUCAAAUAUGAGUGUUUGAAUCAAAUUUCAGCAUGCAAUAGUGUAUUAUAUAGGGCUAAUUUAAAGAGGUCAUUUUUGAAUUUGUAAUGCUUGGUAUUCUUAUUUUAUUAAUAUCUUAUUUAUGUUUUCUUAUUAAUUAUAGAAAUGCCCAUCAAUAUAGAAGA